AUCGAGGCUAGAGUCACAUCCUGGCAUCUUGAUUGUUUUGAUGUGCUAUAGUUCUCGGAGAAAGACUACUGAUCUUUAUUCACUUCUUGUGGCAUUUCAUGCCACAGUAAGUCACCAGAUCAGUAACAAUU